AGAUUUGAGGCUUUUUGUUACUUCUGCUAAAGAAAAUUUUCUUUUAAGAACUCCUUUUCUUGUCUACGGCCACACCACCCUGAACGCUCCUGAUCUCAUCUGAUCUCGGAAGAACUCCUUUUCUUUUUCCCAGAAAAACACAAAAAUUUAUUUGUAAAACCUGUUAUGACUUAAAAAUGAACCCCAAAUUAAUAUGAGUUUGAAUGGAUUAACACAGACUUGUGUUUUUUUAAAUUUUGUUUUUUGUUUUUGUUUUUAGUACUGGGUAGAAAUAUAGUUCAAUAAAAGAUGUACUGUUCUGUGUGUUUAGAAUGCCCUUUUUUCUCUUCUUCACUUUUUGGAUUUAUAUUUUUAAGGCAGAGAUUAUAAUCUCUUAACUGGCAGGCCAGAUUUAGCCUACAAACAUAUUUUAUUUGCCCUUAAAUGUUGUUUUUUAAUUUUCCUUUUAAAAAAAUCAGUUGUUUUUCACAAAAAUGUGAUUCCCAUCUUUUAAUAAAAUAUUGGAAUUCUGAUAACAUUGGGCCUACAGUCGUAUGAGGCAACAGUUGACUUUUCUCAAUGGCAGCUAACCCUUUUAGGAGGGCAGAAAGUCUUCAGUUUGCCAUAGUUCUCACCAUGGCCACAUCCCUUCCUUUAUUUACCUACCUGGUUUCAACAGGGAUUUAUUUAGGUUUAAAAUGCCUGCUUUAAGGCAUUUCUCAAGGUUCAUUUCUUCAUAGGUUUCCCCACCAUUUCUCUUGCAGACUGAAUUACAGUGGGCUUCUCUAUUCAUAUGUUCUGCAUCCAUGGAGUCAACCAACCAUGGCUUAGAAAUCCAUUUUUAGGGCUGAGGUUGUGGCUUGGUGGUAGAGCACUGACCUAGCAUAUGUGAGACACUGGGUUUGAUUCUUAGCACCACAUAUGAAUAAAUGAAUAAAAUAAAGGUCCAUCAACAAUUUAAACAAAAUUUUAAAAAAGAAAUCCAUUUCUAAACAAUUGUGACUUUAGAAUAUAACAAUUAUAUCCCUAAAAGCUAGAAGAAAUAACGUUGAGUAUUUCACUGAAAAUGAUACAUGUUUUAAAAAAAUUGCAUUGGUACAGAAUAUAUACAAGCUUUUUUCUGUCAUUAUUCCCUAAAUAAUACAGUAUAACAACCAUUUAUAUAGUAUUAACAUUCUAUUAGGUAUUAAUAAGUAAUCUUGAGAUGGUUUAAAGUAUAUGAGAGGAUGUGCUUAAGUUAUGUGGAAAUACUAUGCUAUUUUAUAUAAGGGAUGUGAGCAUGUGUACACUUUGAAAUCUAUAGAGGCCUGGAACCAAUCUCCAACCUAUAUCAAAGGACACUUGUAUUCUUAUAGUACAUGCAUUUGUACAUACCUAAAUUAUAAUUCAUAACAUUUUAUUGGAAUUAUGUAUUUAUGUCUGUGAGCUGUUAAAGUUAAGGUACAUGUCACCUAUUUUUAUGUCCAUAACAUUUAGUACAGUGCCUGGCACGUGUAGAAAUUCAGUCAAUGUUUGUUAAAUAAAUAUGUGAAACUCCAUUUACUCUGCCAAUACUUAAAAACAUUUGAGUCCUUGACUACUUGGAAGAAACGUUUGCAUAAAUGUGCAGUUGCUAUUGAUAUAAUUAAACAUUUCUUCAAGAAAUAUUGUUGCAUUCCUUCUGUGUCUGCAUUUGUCAAUUAUUUGGACCCACUACCAACCUGAUACUCUUAGAGGUUGUAAAUAUAACUGAACAAAAUUAAUGAAGCACUCAUAAAAGUUCUUAAUAGGGAGGCUUCUGGAGGGUGCUAUAUAUCUCUUCAGUUAGUCAUUGGUUUAUGUGGACUUUUUUUUUUCCUGAUCCAAAUUCUUAAAUCUUAGAGGAAUUAUUUUAAUCUGAAAACUCAUUGUUUACUUUGGUGCUUAAUCGUAUGUCUUAGUGUGUGUUAUCUUGCUAAUAACACAAUACCAUAGAAUGGGUACGUUAUAAUGAAAAGAGCCAAGACUUUGGAUUAUGGCUUUAUCCAAUAUUGAGCCCCAGUGUGGUGCAGAGAAUCACAUGGUGAGAAACAAGGAGCUUUUAUACCAGACCCACUCUUGAGAUAACACAUGAACUCCUUAAUCUGUUAUCCCAUUAAUUAUAUGAAUGGGUUAAUCC
rnacentral:lncRNA from 1 species